rnacentral:rRNA from 1 species
AGAGAGAGACAUGCGCGCAUAUCAAUAACGGAGGAAAAGAAACUAACUAGGAUUCCCUCAGUAACGGCGAGUGAAGCGGGAAGAGCUCAAAUUUGAAAUCUUCAAGGUUCUACCUUGACGAAUUGUAGUUUAAAGAAGUGUUUUCUGUUGAGGUUUUGGUAAAAGUUCUUUGGAAUAGGACAUCAUAGAGGGUGAGAAUCCCGUAUUUGACCAUUAUUUCCAGCUUUGUGAUACACUUUCAAAGAGUCGGAUUGUUUGGGAAUGCAGUCCAAAAUGGGUGGUAAAUUUCAUCUAAAGCUAAAUAUUGGCGAGAGACCGAUAGCGAACAAGUACCGUGAGGGAAAGAUGAAAAGAACUUUGAAAAGAGAGUUAAACAGUACGUGAAAUUGUCAAAAGGGAAGCGUUUGACACCAGUGUUGUUUUCUCGAAAAUCAAUUAAAAAAGGCAGGAUUUUGUGUUGUAUUGACCUUUAUCAGCUUUCUGCACUCUUUUCUUGUCUUUUUUAAUGCACUUUUCGUUUAACAAGUCAACAUCAAUUUCUUUUGUUGUAAAAGGGUCAUUGGAAGGUGGCUUUCUUUUCGGAGAAAGUGUUUAUAGCCUUUGGCCUCUGCAAUCGGAGAGAUUGAGGUCUGCAGCGUAGAUCCUUCGGGGUUAGAUACAUUUGUGCUAAGUUAUAGCCUUUCAUAGACAACUUGUUGACUAUGAUCAGUCAUGUAGCUUACUCGCUUAUGUUAUUUUACCUACGCUUAGGAUGUUGAUGUGAUACUGCGAGC